UAGAGUUUGAUCCUGGCUCAGGAUGAACGCUAGCGGCAGGCUUAAUACAUGCAAGUCGAGGGGCAGCAGGACUGUAGCAAUACAGUUGCUGGCGACCGGCAAACGGGUGCGGAACACGUACGCAACUUACCCAAAACUGGGGAAUAGCCCGGGGAAACCCGGAUUAAUACCUCGUAACAUAAUGAAGUGGCAUCACUUUAUUAUUAUAGCUCCGGCGGUUUUGGAUGGGCGUGCGCCUGAUUAGGUAGUUGGCGGGGUAACGGCCCACCAAGCCUACGAUCAGUAACUGGUGUGAGAGCACGACCAGUCACACGGGCACUGAGACACGGGCCCGACUCCUACGGGAGGCAGCAGUAAGGAAUAUUGGUCAAUGGACGCAAGUCUGAACCAGCCAUGCCGCGUGAAGGAUGAAGGUCCUCUGGAUUGUAAACUUCUUUUAUAUGGGAAGAAAUCCACUUUUUCUUGAGUGGUUGACGGUACCAUAGGAAUAAGCACCGGCUAACUCCGUGCCAGCAGCCGCGGUAAUACGGAGGGUGCAAGCGUUAUCCGGAUUCACUGGGUUUAAAGGGUGCGUAGGAGGGCAGGUAAGUCAGUGGUGAAAUCUCCAAGCUUAACUUGGAAACUGCCGUUGAUACUAUCUGUCUUGAAUACCGUGGAGGUGAGCGGAAUAUGUCAUGU
rnacentral:rRNA from 1 species